rnacentral:rRNA from 1 species
CACGCACGUUGAAAAGUGCGGGGAUGAGGUGUGGGUAGCGGAGAAAUUCCAAUCGAACUUGGAGAUAGCUGGUUCUCUCCGAAAUAGCUUUAGGGCUAGCCUCGAGGUAAAGAGUCAUGGAGGUAGAGCACUGUUUGGACUAGGGGCCCUUCUCGGGUUACCGAAUUCAGAUAAACUCCGAAUGCCAUGUACUUAUACUCGGGAGUCAGACUGCGAGUGAUAAGAUCCGUAGUCGAAAGGGAAACAGCCCAGACCACCAGUUAAGGUCCCCAAAUAUAUGUUAAGUGGAAAAGGAUGUGGGGUUGCUUAGACAACCAGGAUGUUGGCUUAGAAGCAGCCACCAUUGAAAGAGUGCGUAAUAGCUCACUGGUCGAGUGACCCCGCGCCGAAAAUGUACCGGGGCUAAACAUAUUACCGAAACUGUGGAUGAACCUCUUUAGAGGUUCGUGGUAGGAGAGCGUUCUAAGGGCGGUGAAGUCAGACCGGAAGGACUGGUGGAGCGCUUAGAAGUGAGAAUGCCGGUAUGAGUAGCGAAAGAAGGGUGAGAAUCCCUUCCACCGAAUAUCUAAGGUUUCCUGAGGAAGGCUCGUCCGCUCAGGGUUAGUCGGGACCUAAGCCGAGGCCGAUAGGCGUAGGCGAUGGACAACAGGUAGAGAUUCCUGUACCAGUGCUAAUUGUUUAACCGAUGGGGUGACACAGAAGGAUAGGGAAUCGCACGAAUGGAAAUGUGCGUCCAAGCAGUGAGUGUGAGAAGUAGGCAAAUCCGCUUCUCGCGAAGCAUGAGCUGUGAUGGGGAAGGAAAUUAAGUACGGAAGUUCCUGAUUUCACGCUGUCAAGAAAAGCCUCUAGGAAGAGUAGUACUGCCCGUACCGCAAACCGACACAGGUAGAUGAGGAGAGAAUCCUAAGGUGAGCGAGAGAACUCUCGUUAAGGAACUCGGCAAAAUGACCCCGUAACUUCGGGAGAAGGGGUGCUCUAUUAGGGUGCAAGCCCGAGAGAGCCGCAGUGAAUAGGCCCAGGCGACUGUUUAGCAAAAACACAGGUCUCUGCAAAACCGUAAGGUGACGUAUAGGGGCUGACGCCUGCCCGGUGCUGGAAGGUUAAGAGGAGUGCUUAGCUUCGGCGAAGGUACGAAUUGAAGCCCCAGUAAACGGCGGCCGUAACUAUAACGGUCCUAAGGUAGCGAAAUUCCUUGUCGGGUAAGUUCCGACCCGCACGAAAGGCGCAACGAUCUGGGCACUGUCUCAACGAGAGACUCGGUGAAAUUAUAGUACCUGUGAAGAUGCAGGUUACCCGCGACAGGACGGAAAGACCCCGUGGAGCUUUACUGCAACCUGAUAUGGAAUGUUUGUACCGCUUGUACAGGAUAGGUAGGAGCCGAAGAGACGUGUGCGCUAGCAUACGAGGAGGCAAUGGUGGGAUACUACCCUGGCUGUAUGACCAUUCUAACCCGCCACGCUUAGCGCGUGGGGAGACAGUGUCAGGUGGGCAGUUUGACUGGGGCGGUCGCCUCCUAAAGAGUAACGGAGGCGCCCAAAGGUUCCCUCAGAAUGGAUGGAAAUCAUUCGCAGAGUGUAAAGGCACAAGGGAGCUUGACUGCGAGACUGACAAGUCGAGCAGGGACGAAAGUCGGGCUUAGUGAUCCGGUGGUUCCGCAUGGAAGGGCCAUCGCUCAACGGAUAAAAGCUACCCCGGGGAUAACAGGCUUAUCUCCCCCAAGAGUCCACAUCGACGGGGAGGUUUGGCACCUCGAUGUCGGCUCGUCGCAUCCUGGGGCUGUAGUCGGUCCCAAGGGUUGGGCUGUUCGCCCAUUAAAGCGGCACGCGAGCUGGGUUCAGAACGUCGUGAGACAGUUCGGUCCCUAUCCGUCGCGGGCGCAGGAAAUUUGAGAGGAGCUGUCCUUAGUACGAGAGGACCGGGAUGGACACACCGCUGGUGUACCAGUUGUUCCGCCAGGAGCAUCGCUGGGUAGCUAUGUGUGGCAGGGAUAAACGCUGAAAGCAUCUAAGCGUGAAGCCCCCCUCAAGAUGAGAUUUCCCAUUUCUUCGGAAAGUAAGAUCCCUGAAAGAUGAUCAGGUAGAUAGGUUUGGAGUGGAAGUGUAGCGAUACAUGGAGCGGACAAAUACUAAUCGAUCGAGGACUUAACCAAAA